GGAUGUGUGGAUAACAUAUAUAUAUAAAUAUAAAAUAUUACAUUACAAUAUAACAUAAUCAGUGUAAUAACAAAUAUGUAUAGGACACUGUGGGUGGACCUAAUCAAGGCCCUGUGUACAACUAACCAAGUUGACACUGCACAUCUCCAAGCCACAGAACUGUGCAGUGUCUAAGGUGGCCCUGUACCUAACCAGUUAUAUGUUAUUAGCCCCAUGUUAAGAGGCAGUGGCAUAUUGUAGUGGACACUAUGCACAUUUAAAAGUAUCUGCUGUGUGAUCUUGGGCAAAUUCUAAUUGACGUUCUGUAAAAUGGGAAUAUUACCUAUUUUAAUGUAUUGUCGCAUUGUGAUAAUACAUGCAAUGGCUUACCCAGCACUAUUUCAGAUACAUAGUAAAUUAUUUUUAAAAUGUUAGCAGAUGUAUUUAAGCACAGGGAAACAAACCCAGAAAGAAUGAUUUGACCACAUCAAAACCAAUGACAAAAGUGAAGCCCGAGCCUGAAUCUUCUGAUUUUCUAUCCACCAGUGGGUUUUCUCCCAAGGAAGCAAUUCCCAAGACAAGAAUUGUUUGAGAAAACUGCAACUGGAUUUGCCUAUACAUGCAGCAGUAAACUUCAGUGAGCACCUGACCCUAUUUUCAGGAGCAGCAGAAAGGCACAUUUACCCCACACAGGUAAGAAGUGGUUUUCCUCCUCUGUAGCCCUCCUUUCUCCGGCCUUCCAUUGGAGAUCGGAAAGUCUUAGGAAAAUGAGAGAGUAUGGGUCACUAUUUUCUAUUUUCAAGUUUUCAGAUCUUUAAUCUGCAAAUUUAGGUGAUCCCAGCUCCGGAAAGAGCAUCACACUUUUUUUUUUUUUUUUUUUUGAGACAGAGCCUCAGUCUGUCGCCUAGGCUGGAGUGCAAUGUCACAAUCUCGGCUCACUGCAACCUCGACCUCCCGGGUUCAAGUAAUUCUCCUGCCCCAGCCUCCUGAGUAGCAGGGACCACAGUACAGGCAGCGCCACCACGCCUGGCUAAUUUUUGUAUUUUUAGUAGAGACGGGGUUUUGCCAUGUUGGCCAGGCUGGUCUCCUGACCUCAAGCUAUCUGCCCAACUCGGCCUCCCAAAGUUCUGAGAUUACAGCAUGAGCCACCACGCCGGCCACUUUUGACUUUUUUGACCAGCAAGCUUCCAUCUGGAGCCUAGGCUCUCUUCUUUAGGUGCCCACAGCCCCAGGGGUGCACAGGCUGCUGAGCAGCUGCGGGCCCGCGGGGCUGGGAGCCCACCAGGGCCGCGUGUCCUGUGUGGCGCACAGUCCCAGUCAUCCUAGGAGGCAGCCCUGAGUUCACACCUUCUCGUUCCUCUUUGUCAGAGCUCGGUUAGUGAGUGGGACACUAAAAUAGCACUGCAAACAUAAUGAGAAAAUGAAAACUGAGUUUACCAGAACUGCUUUCAGAGAAAGAGCUGGAAGCAUUGGAGGGAAUUCUUUGAUAAGCUGCUUUGAGAUGUGGUGGUGGGGGUGAUACUCUCAUGGGGGCAAACCUAAUCUGUAACAGCAAAAGAUCACCAAGCUGCCUUCCAAAAAUGUCCCUGGAUUGCAAGGCUGUGUUUUCCCAAGAGAAUGGAAAUUUGCCUUCAAAGGAGAGUUUGGUCACUGUCCCCAGGGAGGCUUCUUCGCAGUCUUUCAACAUUCGGCAGGAAACCUAUCAGUGUCCGGGUGACUACCUAUUAACCUGCCCUGAUUAUUAACUGUGCCCAGGUCGAGACAGCAUCAGGGUUGUGGUUCUACCAGGCCGUCUCUUUGCAGUCCUCGGCUUCUGUCAAAGUUGAACGCCAUCCACCUCCCUUUUGGUUCCAGCCACAGAGGCGUGCCUUCCACAGAGGCGUGCUCCGCAGCGCCG
rnacentral:lncRNA from 1 species